rnacentral:misc_RNA from 1 species
GAUGAAGAACGCAGCGAAAUGCGAUAAGUAAUGCGAAUUGCAGAAUUCAGUGAGUCAUCGAAUCUUUGAACGCACAUUGCGCCCUGUGGUAUUCCGCAGGGCAUGCCUGUUCGAGCGUCAUUUCAACCCUCAAGCUCUGCUUGGUGUUGGGCCCUGCCCGCUGCGGCCGGCCCUAAAGACAGUGGCGGUGCCGCCUGGCCCUGAGCGUAGUACAUCUCUCGCUCCAGUGCCCGGUGGUAGCCUGCCAGAACCCCAACUCUCGUGGUUGACCUCGGAUCAGGUAGGGAUACCCGCUGAACUUAAGCAUAUCAAUAAGCGGGGGA